GGACGAACGCUGGCGGCGUGCCUAAUACAUGCAAGUCGAACGGCUUUUCUAUGGAAGCUUGCUUCCACUGAGAAGAUAGUGGCGAACGGGUGAGUAACACGUGGGUAACCUGCCCAUAAGAGGGGGGAUAACAUCCGGAAACGGGUGCUAAUACCGCAUAGUUUUCUUGAUUGCAUGAUUGAGAAAGGAAAGACGGCCUUUGUGCUGUCGCUUAUGGAUGGACCCGCGGCGUAUUAGUUAGUUGGUGAGGUAACGGCUCACCAAGACGAUGAUACGUAGCCGACCUGAGAGGGUGAUCGGCCACAUUGGGACUGAGACACGGCCCAAACUCCUACGGGAGGCAGCAGUAGGGAAUCUUCCGCAAUGGACGAAAGUCUGACGGAGCAACGCCGCGUGAGUGAAGAAAGGGUUUUCGGAUCGUAAAACUCUGUUGUCAGAGAAGAACAAGUUGGAGAGUAACUGCUCCAGCCUUGACGGUAUCUGACCAGAAAGCCACGGCUAACUACGUGCCAGCCGCCGC
rnacentral:rRNA from 1 species